AGUGAACGCUGGCGGCAGGCCUAAUACAUGCAAGUCGAACGGCAGCACAGCAGAGCUUGCUCUGUGGGUGGCGAGUGGCGGACGGGUGAGGAAUACGUGGGAAUCUGCCCAGUCGUGGGGGAUAACGUAGGGAGACUUACGCUAAUACCGCAUGCGCCUUCGGGGAAGCCGGGACCUUCGGGCCUGGCGCGAUUGGAUGAGCCCACGUCGGAUUAGCUAGUUGGCGGGGUAAGGGCCCACCAAGGCGACGAUCCGUAGCUGGUCUGAGAGGAUGAUCAGCCACACUGGAACUGAGACACGGUCCAGACUCCUACGGGAGGCAGCAGUAGGGAAUAUUGGACAAAUGGGCGCAAAGCCUGAUCCAGCCAUGCCGCGUGAGU
rnacentral:rRNA from 1 species